AAUAAAGCUAAAUUAUUAUUAUUAAUUAUCUUUAUUCCCUCUCUCUCUCUCUCUCUUUCUCUCUCCCCGUCCUUCCCUUUUUCAUUUUCUCUUCCCGUGUCCCUCUCUCCCUUUCUCCUUCUUCCCCUCUCUCUCCCUCUUCCUCCUCUCUCGGCCUCGUUGCCCCUCCCUGCCUCAAGCUAACCGGCCUCCGCCCGUGCUCCCGCAGGGCCAGAAGGAGCUGUGCGAAACCUACUACGAGUGCUACCGCGUCGGGAGCGAGUGGCGCGUGCGGCCGCUGCGCUGCGUGGCCGGCCUCCUCUACAGCCACGCGGAGGGCAAGUGCGUCGUCCCGCCCACAGCUGCCGAGCUCUGCAAGCCUUAAAUUGCCAAGAGUUUCAUCCUGCACAUUUGCACGUGCGUGUGUAUGAAUGUGUGUGUAUAUGAGCCUGUGUGUGUGCGCAUGUCCAUUUAGCCAAGGUACCUGGUAUUACCUUGGUGAUAGUAAUAUGUAAGAUGUUAAUAUUGAAUAAUAUGUUGCAAUACGCAUAGAAUAUCCAAGUUUCCCUUUGUAUUGUUUUUAGCCAGAUCUUCGUCAGAUCUUUUAAAGCGGAAUGUACAGUAAAGUGUCCGCGCUUUUAA